UCGUUGGGAGGCUUGUCCUCUUGGUGGCGCAGUUAACGCGUUAAGUAGACCGCCUGGGGAGUACGGCCGCAAGGCUAAAACUCAAAGAAUUGACGGGGGCCCGCACAAGCGGUGGAGCAUGUGGUUUAAUUCGAUGCAACGCGAAGAACCUUACCUGCCCUUGACAUCCUCGGAAGGGACCGGAAACGGACCCGUGCCUUCGGGAACCGAGAGACAGGUGCUGCAUGGCCGUCGUCAGCUCGUGUCGUGAGAUGUUGGGUUAAGUCCCGUAACGAGCGCAACCCCUAUCCUUAGUUGCCAGCACGUAAUGGUGGGAACUCUAGGGAGACUGCCGGUGACAAACCGGAGGAAGGUGGGGACGACGUCAAGUCAUCAUGGCCCUUAUGGGCAGGGCUACACACGUGCUACAAUGGCCGGUACAAAGGGCAGCGAAGCCGCAAGGUGGAGCGAAUCUCACAAAACCGGUCGUAGUCCGGAUUGCAGUCUGCAACUCGACUGCAUGAAGCUGGAAUCGCUAGUAAUCGCGGAUCAGAAUGCCGCGGUGAAUACGUUCCCGGGCCUUGUACACACCGCCCGUCACACCAUGGGAGUGGGCUGUACCAGAAGUAGGUAGUCUAACCUUCGGGAGGACGCUUACCACGGUGUGGUUCAUGACUGGGGUG
rnacentral:rRNA from 1 species